rnacentral:rRNA from 1 species
GUCGAACGAUGAACCACUUCGGUGGGGAUUAGUGGCGAACGGGUGAGUAACACGUGGGCAAUCUGCCCUGCACUCUGGGACAAGCCCUGGAAACGGGGUCUAAUACCGGAUACUGACCCUCACGGGCAUCUGUGAGGUUCGAAAGCUCCGGCGGUGCAGGAUGAGCCCGCGGCCUAUCAGCUUGUUGGUGAGGUAAUGGCUCACCAAGGCGACGACGGGUAGCCGGCCUGAGAGGGCGACCGGCCACACUGGGACUGAGACACGGCCCAGACUCCUACGGGAGGCAGCAGUGGGGAAUAUUGCACAAUGGGCGAAAGCCUGAUGCAGCGACGCCGCGUGAGGGAUGACGGCCUUCGGGUUGUAAACCUCUUUCAGCAGGGAAGAAGCGAAAGUGACGGUACCUGCAGAAGAAGCGCCGGCUAACUACGUGCCAGCAGCCGCGGUAAUACGUAGGGCGCGAGCGUUGUCCGGAAUUAUUGGGCGUAAAGAGCUCGUAGGCGGCUUGUCACGUCGGUUGUGAAAGCCCGGGGCUUAACCCCGGGUCUGCAGUCGAUACGGGCAGGCUAGAGUUCGGUAGGGGAGAUCGGAAUUCCUGGUGUAGCGGUGAAAUGCGCAGAUAUCAGGAGGAACACCGGUGGCGAAGGCGGAUCUCUGGGCCGAUACUGACGCUGAGGAGCGAAAGCGUGGGGAGCGAACAGGAUUAGAUACCC